GUGUUGUAUGAAAGGAGAGAAGGUUAACACUCCCCUUGACAAGGAUGGAAGAGGCCCUUAGGCCUGGCAACAUGCAUACGGUUAAGGCAUUGCCACCUACUUCAUGGCAUCUAACCACUGUUUUUC
rnacentral:ncRNA from 1 species